AGGGUGUGAGCUCGGUGGUGGGCUGUCUCUGGAUGUUGGCGUAUCUCUGGCAUCGAUCACACUUUUUAACAUAUUCAAUCGAAUCAUGAUGCAUUGUUGGCCAGUAAUAUCCCUGGCGGAGCAACUUGUGGGAUAAAGAUAUAGCCCCCAAAUGGUUUUCGCAAAUUCCUUCAUAUACUUCCCACAAGGCGUAGUCAGCUUCCGAGGGCCGGAGAUAUUUUAAGAGGGGCAAGGAGUAUGAUCUCUUGUACAACUUGCCCUCAUAAAGGAUGUACCGGGAGGCCUGAUUUCGGAGCUUUCGGGCUUCUUUCGCAUCUUGGGGGAGAACUCUAUCUCUGAGAU
rnacentral:lncRNA from 1 species